rnacentral:lncRNA from 1 species
GCAGUGACAUUAACAAAGCCCAUAGGAUCAUCUACAGUCAGAGGGAUGAAGACAUUGGAUUCUCAUUCCCAUCACUCUCCAAUUGUUGGUUCUCUCUGCUUUUCACAUUUCCUCUCCUUCGUCUCUCUUUUCAGCGUCUCACCCACGACUGCCUUGCUCCAUGGACCCCGAGGCACACAAACCCAUUGUGAUGGAGGAGAAGCUCCGGAGGCCCUUUUUUUCUACGUCUCUCAGCCUCCUCUCACCUCGUAGCAAUCCCACUCGACGGAGACCCAUCAAACAUGACUCGUGGGAUGUGGAGGACGGGCUUGAAGAUCCGUUCUCGAGCAACAUGGAGGUAGAGGAGACAGACACUGACUGGUCGAGUCCUGCUCCCAGUGCAUCGCUAACAAUGCAGCUCUGAGUCACCCACAACAGACUCUCCUCUUAGAAUCUGUUGCAUCCUCGUGGCAAAGAAUUAAAAAAAAAAAUCCCACUCGCUGGCACAGGCUGCUCAAUCACAACCCAGCAAAAAUAUGCAGCGAGCCUCCUGCUGCCAUCCUCUGGACUGAUGCAACACAGCCCGCCUCCAUUGAUCUGACAGAAAACAUGUGGCGCUCGCCAGCAUACAAACUAAGAUGCUGCACAAACACGUCUCAGACUUUCCCACAUGGAAUAUGAUGCAAUAAAACACUACAAAGCAAACA